rnacentral:rRNA from 1 species
UUAAGUUAGAAAGGGCGCACGGCGGAUGCCUUGGCACUAGGAGUCUAUGAAGGACGGCACUAACACCGAUAUGCUCUGGGGAGCUGUAAGUAAGCAUUGAUCCAGAGAUUUCCGAAUGGGGAAACCCACUGUUUCUAAUAGAACAGUACGUUUACGUGAAUACAUAGCGUAAACGAGACACACCCGGAGAACUGAAACAUCUAAGUACCCGGAGGAAGAGAAAGAAAAUCGAUUCCCUGAGUAGCGGCGAGCGAAAAGGGAACAGCCCAAACCAGAAAGCUUGCUUUCUGGGGUUGUAGGACACUCUAUACGGAGUUACAAAGGAAUGAAUUAGACGAAGCGACCUGGAAAGGUCCGCCGCAGUGGGUAAAAGCCCCGUAGUCGACAGUUCAUUCUCUCCAGAGUGUAUCCUGAGUACGACGGAACACGUGAAAUUCCGUUGGAAUCCGGGAGGACCAUCUCCCAAGGCUAAAUACUUCUUGGUGACCGAUAGUGAACCAGUACCGUGAGGGAAAGGUGAAAAGCACCCCGGAAGGGGAGUGAAAUAGAUCCUGAAACCGUGUGCCUACAAGUAGUCAGAGCUCCGUUGGUCUUUUCUUCGGAAUUGAUCACGAGUGAUGGCGUGCCUUUUGUAGAAUGAACCGGCGAGUUACUGAUUUCAUGCAAGGUUAAGCAGAGAAUGCGGAGCCGCAGCGAAAGCGAGUCUGAAUAGGGCGAAUUAGUAUGAGGUCGUAGACCCGAAACCAGGUGAUCUACGCAUGUCCAGGGUGAAGGUAAGGUAACACUUACUGGAGGCCCGAACCCACGUAUGUUGAAAAAUGCGGGGAUGAGGUGUGGGUAGCGGUGAAAUUCCAAUCGAACCUGGAGAUAGCUGGUUCUCUCCGAAAUAGCUUUAGGGCUAGCCUCAAACGUUAGAAUCUCGGAGGUAGAGCACUGUUUGGACUAGGGGCCCAUCCCGGGUUACCGAAUUCAGACAAACUCCGAAUGCCGAAGAUUUAUGUUUGGGAGUCAGACUGCGGGUGAUAAUAUUCGUAGUCGAGAGGGAAACAACCCAGACCACCAGUUAAGGUCCCAAAGUCUCUGUUAAGUGGAAAAGGAUGUGGCGUUGCCCAGACAACCAGGAUGUUGGCUUAGAAGCAGCCAUCAUUUAAAGAGUGCGUAAUAGCUCACUGGUCGAGUGGCGCUGCGCCGAAAAUGUACCGGGGCUAAACAGAGCACCGAAACUGUGGACUGACAUCUUAGAUGUCAGUGGUAGGAGAGCGUUCUAGGGGCGUUGAAGUUAGACCGUAAGGACUAGUGGAGCGCCUAGAAGUGAGAAUGCCGGUAUGAGUAGCGAAAGAAGGGUGAGAAUCCCUUCCACCGAAUGCCCAAGGUUUCCUGAGGAAGGCUCGUCCGCUCAGGGUUAGUCGGGACCUAAGUCGAGGCCGAAAGGCGUAGACGAUGGAUAACAGGUUGAUAUUCCUGUACCACCUCCCCGCCGUUUGAGUAAUGGGGGGACGCAGUAGGAUAGGGUGAGCGCACUGUUGGUUAUGUGCGUCUAAGCAGUAAGGUGUGAAACGAGGAAAAUCCCGUUUCUAUAACAUUGAGCUGUGAUAGCGAGGAGAUUUAUCUCCAGAGUCCCUGAUUUCACGCUGCCAAGAAAAGCCUCUAACGAGGCGGGAGGUGCCCGUACCGCAAACCGACACAGGUAGGCGAGGAGAGAAUCCUAAGGUGAUCGAGAGAACUCUCGUUAAGGAACUCGGCAAAAUGACCCCGUAACUUCGGGAGAAGGGGUGCUCUGGUAGGGUGUUAAAGCCCGAGAGAGCCGCAGUGAAUAGGCCCAGGCGACUGUUUAGCAAAAACAUAGGUCUCUGCAAAACCGCAAGGUGAAGUAUAGGGGCUGACGCCUGCCCGGUGCUGGAAGGUUAAGGGGAGAGGUUAGCGCAAGCGAAGCUUCGAACCGAAGCCCCAGUAAACGGCGGCCGUAACUAUAACGGUCCUAAGGUAGCGAAAUUCCUUGUCGGGUAAGUUCCGACCCGCACGAA